rnacentral:rRNA from 1 species
GAUGAACGCUGGCGGCGUGCCUAAUACAUGCAAGUCGAGCGAACAGACGAGGAGCUUGCUCCUUCGACGUUAGCGGCGGACGGGUGAGUAACACGUAGGUCACCUACCUAUAAGACUGGUAUAACUUCGGGAAACCGGAGCUAAUACCGGAUAAUAUUUCGAACCGCAUGGUUCGAUAGUGAAAGAUGGCUUUGCUAUCACUUAUAGAUGGAUCUGCGCCGUAUUAGCUAGUUGGUAAGGUAACGGCUUACCAAGGCAACGAUACGUAGCCGACCUGAGAGGGUGAUAGGCCACACUGGAACUGGGACACGGUCCAGACUCCUACGGGAGGCAGCAGUAGGGAAUCUUACGCAAUGGGCGAGAGCCUGACGGAGCAACGCCGCGUGAGUGAUGAAGGUCUUCGGAUCGUAAAACUCUGUUAUUAGGGAAGAACAAACGUGUAAGUAACUGUGCACGUCUUGACGGUACCUAAUCAGAAAGCAACGGCUAACUACGUG